ensembl:lncRNA
GGACACUGUCCGUCUUUCACCUAUUUAGCCCGAGCCAUUUUCAUUAGCGCGAGGCUGUCUGCUAGCACAACAGGGACGGUUGUAAUCAGCAGCCAUAAACUGUGAAGUGGGAGAACCUAAACGUGACGUCAAUGCCUAGUAACUGACGCAGCCCUUUAAAAAAAAGAGAGAUAGAGAGAGAGAGAGAUUCUGCAAGCAUUAAUUAUCGUCGUUUGUGUACUGCUCUAAAGACAAAACAUAUUCCGCUCGCAGUGCGAUUGAUUACGAUUGUUUGCGCGCGCGGCUCCGUCUGUGUGUGUCUCUGUGUGAGUGUGUGCGUGCGUGCGUAUGUUUUUUAUGAGCAGCGAAUCCGUCCCGAGUUUCCAAGCUAAAGUUGCAUGGAGACACGCCGCGUAAGACGCGUAUAAUAAAGAGGAUGGUGAGCAACAUAAAGGAGCGAGGAGAGCGAGAACAACUUGUGCUGAGAAAGCGAACCUUUAAGAAAUAUUUAGCCCAUAAGAGAGAGGGUCACUGAAGCAGUUCGUUUGAAAAAAAAAAAAAAGAAGAAAUUCACUGCAGCGAUGCAUCGGAGGCGAGUCAGAUGGAGUUGGCGAGGCAAAAUUAAUGUACAUUACAUGCACUCCACGUAACGCUCCUGAGCGAUGUCUUUGUGAGUGUUUUUUUUUUUCUUACUGGGCGCUAAAAAUAGCAUCAGUGUUUGAUCUUGGUCCAGAAAUAGGCAGAGGGUAUCACUUGUAUAAAAAGGACUGCGAUUCUGAGAAAACUUGGACAUGUUGCUAAGGAUAGAUAUGAAUCAAGGGCAGUAUUUGAUUUUCAUCUUGCUUGUUGUUUUUGUCACGUAUGAUGGUUUUAUACUCAUGUCUGUGUUUUCCCUGCUUUCAGCCUAGGGCUUCCUGCACUGGUAAGUACACAUUCGCGAUGAUUUCUUUGGUUUGAUGACAUGUGUAUUUGAUUUUUUUUGCACGAUUUCUUGCAUGCAUUGAAUAACGUGCCAUUCCCUCCACCGAACACCAUCCAUUUGUUUCACGCAUACUGUGUGCACUUCUCAAACAGGUGCUUUGUUUUCAUACAUUUGUUUAAAAUGAAAUAAACCACACUCUUUCCAGACCAGGAAUCUCGCGAAUGGUAAAUAAGUGAAAUCCACAUCCAAACUCCUUUGUCUGACGGCGCUGUUGAGUCGUUUUUUGCCUCUUCGCUACAGCUGAGAGUGUGAAUGGAAACCGAUAACACUAGAAGAGUGAGGGGACAUAUCUCUCAAAAUAUGUGAAGAGGAAAAUGGGCUAAUAAAUAUAGGUGGAAGACGCCGCGCCAAAAGGAAAAUCACCAGCAACAGCCGACGAGGGAAGCCCUGGUGUGGCGUCAAGGGGUUCCGUGCAUCCAAAAUCGCCCUUAAAUGGUCAGCCCUGUUUUGGCCAUUACCCUUGAAAGGGAUGCCACUCGGCACACGUUCUCAUAAUAAGCUUAAGGGUUUUUUGUUUGUUUGUUUUUGUUUGUUUGUUUUUUUGUGCAGUGUUCCCGCGUGCGUUGUUUGAACACUUCCAUCAGAUCGAGACUGCACGAGACUGUGUAGCUAUAGGCGGAUUCACAUGGAUUACUCUUCCGCCCACGUCAUUUUCAUUAUACAGUACUGCAAUCGACAGUUUUCUAUUGCAGUGGACUAUAAUAUUGGUCUUGUGCCAAAACUAACGCGUUUGUGCAGUUGCGCAAAACAAUCACGUUGUGAUCGCCAGUGUUGUUUUAAUCAAAGCAUCUCUUAAUAAACGUCUAACUUCAAUCCUGCAGCGUGCGCGAGUGCCUUAAGCGUUAGCAGACAGUAUUUUUCGAAUUGUUUCAGAGGGAUUAAAUGGUCAUGUAUAUGUAUUCAACAUCAAAAAUUGCAUGUGAGUUCGCUUAAAUACUUAAAACCGUACAUGUCAGAGUAGAGAGUCCAGGAAUGACCGCUGAUCUUUGCAGAAACAAAACUCAUUACCUUGACCUUUUCAAAGACACUGUGGCUCUCUAUACACCUUUCCCAGACAUAGCAAGAUCUUCUUAAGUCAAUGCUGGCGUUGUAAUUUUUGUCGAAACACGGUUUUAUCCGAGUCGUGACUGCUAUAGUGAGUAAUAUGUGCGCGUUGGCUGCGUCAGGAGAUGCAGUCGCUGUGCGGUGCAGACAGAAGGGGAGAAUCGUGACUGACUGGAGACGUCCGCAAAUGAUGCGACCACCAAAUAAAAUCCUCAUAAUGGUGGCAUCUGGGGUUGAAUUUAUUUUUGUUUUUAGAUUUUUACACCUGUUACAUCUCAAGCCAUAUCUCUUUUGCCUAGCCACCUCAACCUCCCCUUGCACCACGAAGGCGCAAGAAGAAUAUCAGUGAUUGAGGGGAAGGGAGGGGGGAGAUCUUUGGAUCGGGAUGAAUUUAGACUGGGGGGAGGGAGGGGGUCCAGAUAUAGACAGUGACCCUCCCACUUCGUAUAGUUCCUUGCAUAGUUCCAAGAAGAGCCACUCUUUAACAAUUUUGACAAAUGAUCGCAUGGAUCCAAGAAAAGAACUUCACGGGGCAGGACAGAACUUGAGGCAUCCACCGUGUCAAGUACAGAGGGUGAAUGAACGCUCGACUCACAGAACGAUCCCAGACGGUGUUGCUCGUGACAAAAUCUGCUGAUGAUUGGAGGUCUAUGGAAAAGUGAGAUGUGAAGCGAACUGGCUGUAUUCCUCAUGGAAGCAGAGGAAAGGCUGACAGGCAUGGAAGAUGAUGGAAGAAAAAGGAGGGGUUUACCAAUAAAUAAGGAUACAAAUAUGGGAAAACGUUACCUUGUAUCCUGCACACAAGAUCAACGUCGAACCAACGUCUGUUAGACUGCUGUACACCUGUAAAUGGAUAUUAAGCAAGUUGAUUACUUUGUAGGAACAACAUAACAUCGUCAGGUAUUUGCAAUAUCUGUCUGUAAACUACCUGGGUUUAAUAAAUGAGCCGGACUUGCUUACGUGUCACGUGCACACGUGAGACUCAUGAGCUGCGAGACGUAAGGAAAUAUGACAAUGAUGUAGUACGUAUUUGAGCUUAAAAAAUGUUUACUUGCACAUAAAACCAUGUAUAGAUACAUUUGUUGUAAUUAUUUACCUUAAUUAGUGAAAUUGUGUAGACGAGAUGCACAUGAACGCUUGUGUUGAGUCGUGUUGCUUUAGUUCUCAAAGACAUGAAGGCAAACACAUACUGAUUUAAUCUUAUUUGUUCUAAUUAAAUCAUAGCCUAUAUGUAGCUUCAAAUGGAUUUGUUGUGACUGUGAUAAUAAGAACUUGUGCGUAACGCGAGCGUCUGCAGACUUGUGUGAAAAUUACAGGCGCGAGUUUUAGCUUGUGGUGCUUUAUAAUUGUUAGGGUUACAUAUUCGUGAGAUCUUAAUAGCUUGUUUAACAUGUUGAAUGGAGCUGCAGACGGAGAGUUGGAGCUGUCAGGCGUUUUCUGUGCACGCUCUGCUGCUGCUGACGUAUCACUCCCACGGCCCAAGUGAGUUUAGGACUCAAAUAAUGCUGUGUUCUAUUAGUUCUUUAGCUAAAUAUGUUUAUUAUAUCGUAUAUGUGUAAUAAGGUUUCAUAACUAGUGUUUAGGGAGCAUUUUGAACACAGUAAAUGUGAAAUAUGACUUGUUGGGACUGGGAGUUAUCAAAGGGUCAAAUGGGUUGGGUCCUGCGGGGGGGCGGGGGGGGGGGGUAUGAUGUCGAAAUUAUAUGUUUUAAAGUUUGUCUAAGCAAAAGAUAAUUAAGUAAAAUAUCUAUAUUUUGCAUCAGUUAUUAUUUUGUAGUAUAUAAAUUACAAAAAAAUAAAUAUAAUAACUGAUAAUGCACUAUGUAGCCUAGCUAUCGGAUUGCUUGUGCCUUACGUAACUUUUAUUUUUAUUGCUUCAUAAUUAUAGUAUUUUCUGCUUUGCUGUUACUGUAUAUCAUACAACCCAAAACGUGCUUAACAGUUUGAGCUGAACUGAGUAAUUUGAGUAAAGUGUGGUUGCUGCAGUGUGCACGACGUGAGAGCGUAACGUGCGAGUUCUGCAUUUCUGAGUAUUUGAAUGACAUUUCUGUAUAGUGCACAGAGAAAAAUAUGCUGCAUUAACUAUUCGACCCUGACUAAUUGUUUAGCUAUUUCAUUACAUGAAACAAGAUGUGCAUGUGGUGUGAGAAAUAUGUGAUUUGAUUAUGUUGCAAAAUCUAAAAGCUGGAAGUUUGUCGUUCAGGUGACAAAGAAAAAAAAAAUGACUCACGUAUUUUGUAAUCAAACUGCUGGCUUUCUGUAUUCUCUAUUACAUGUCAGAGAAAAUAAAAUGUUUGGAGUUAUUUUAGAGUCUGCUUGCUUAUUUGUAUGUUUUUAAGUGUGGGGGGAUCUGGAAAAUGAACACUAUGGCUACUAUAUGUGACGUGCUGAAAACACUUGUGUGUGUUUAGAGCCUGUAGGAUAUAUAAAAUAAAAAAGUCAAAUGUAGCGCGAGGGAGGCAAUGCAUAGAAAGAAAGGUUUCCACAGCCAGAGUAGCCUAUCUUACAAUUAAAAUUACAGACAUUAAAAUGUUUUUCUUGACGACGCCAAUGCUUUUUUCUACUAAACAGCAUGUGGUUUACAUGUUACGUGUGUUACUUGAAUUAUUCACGCAUCGGUGGG